rnacentral:rRNA from 1 species
UACGAAGGGGCUAGCGUUGUUCGGAAUCAGCUAGGGCGUAAAGCGCACGUUAGGCGGAUUGUUAAGUCGGGGGUGAAAUCCUGGAGGCUCAACCUCAGAACUGCCUUCGAUACUGGCAAUCUCGAGUCCGGGAAGAGGUUGGUGGAACAGCUAGUGUAGAGGUGAAAUUCGUAGAUAUUAGCUAGAACACCAGUGGCGAAGGCGGCCAACUGGUCCGGUACUGACGGCUGAGGUGACGAAAGCGUGGGGGAGCAAACAGG